GAUGAACGCUGGCGGCGUGCCUAAUACAUGCAAGUCGAGCGAACGGACGAGAAGCUUGCUUCUCUGAUGUUAGCGGCGGACGGGUGAGUAACACGUGGAUAACCUACCUAUAAGACUGGGAUAACUUCGGGAAACCGGAGCUAAUACCGGAUAAUAUUUUGAACCGCAUGGUUCAAAAGUGAAAGACGGUCUUGCUGUCACUUAUAGAUGGAUCAGCGCUGCAUUAGCUAGUUGGUAAGGUAACGGCUUACCAAGGCAACGAUGCAUAGCCGACCUGAGAGGGUGAUCGGCCACCCUGGAACUGAGACACGGUCCAGACUCCUACGGGAGGCAGCAGUAGGGAAUCUUCCGCAAUGGGCGAAAGCCUGACGGAGCAACGCCGCGUGAGUGAUGAAGGUCUUCGGAUCGUAAAACUCUGUUAUUAGGGAAGAACAUAUGUGUAAGUAACUGUGCACAUCUUGACGGUACCUAAUCAGAAAGCCACGGCUAACUACGUG
rnacentral:rRNA from 1 species